rnacentral:rRNA from 1 species
UACGGAGGAUGCAAGCGUUAUCCGGAAUGAUUGGGCGUAAAGCGUCCGCAGGUGGCAGUUCAAGUCUGCUGUCAAAGACCGGGGCUUAACUUCGGAAAGGCAGUGGAAACUGAACAGCUAGAGUAUGGUAGGGGCAGAGGGAAUUCCUGGUGUAGCGGUGAAAUGCGUAGAGAUCAGGAAGAACAUCGGUGGCGAAGGCGCUCUGCUGGACCAUAACUGACACUCAGGGACGAAAGCUAGGGGAGCGAAGCCGG